GGGCGCACGGUGGAUGCCUUGACACUAGGAGUCGAUGAAGGACGGGACUAACGCCGAUAUGCUUCGGGGAGCUGUAAGUAAGCUUUGAUCCGAAGAUUUCCGAAUGGGGAAACCCACCAUACGUAAUGGUAUGGUAUCCUUAUCUGAAUACAUAGGGUAAGGAAGACAGACCCAGGGAACUGAAACAUCUAAGUACCUGGAGGAAGAGAAAGCAAAUGCGAUUUCCUGAGUAGCGGCGAGCGAAACGGAACAUAGCCCAAACCAAGAGGCUUGCCUCUUGGGGUUGUAGGACAUUCUAUACGGAGUUACAAAGGAACGAGGUAGACGAAGCGACCUGGAAAGGUCCGUCGUAGAGGGUAACAACCCCGUAGUCGAAACUUCGUUCUCUCUUGAAUGUAUCCUGAGUACGGCGGAACACGUGAAAUUCCGUCGGAAUCUGGGAGGACCAUCUCCCAAGGCUAAAUACUCCCUAGUGAUCGAUAGUGAACCAGUACCGUGAGGGAAAGGUGAAAAGCACCCCGGAAGGGGAGUGAAAGAGAUCCUGAAACCGUGUGCCUACAAAUAGUCAGAGCCCGUUAACGGGUGAUGGCGUGCCUUUUGUAGAAUGAACCGGCGAGUUACGAUCCCGUGCGAGGUUAAGCUGAAGAGGCGGAGCCGCAGCGAAAGCGAGUCUGAAUAGGGCGUUUAGUACGUGGUCGUAGACCCGAAACCAGGUGAUCUACCCAUGUCCAGGGUGAAGUUCAGGUAACACUGAAUGGAGGCCCGAACCCACGCACGUUGAAAAGUGCGGGGAUGAGGUGUGGGUAGCGGAGAAAUUCCAAUCGAACCUGGAGAUAGCUGGUUCUCCCCGAAAUAGCUUUAGGGCUAGCCUUAAGUGUAAGAGUCUUGGAGGUAGAGCACUGAUUGGACUAGGGGUCCUCAUCGGAUUACCGAAUUCAGUCAAACUCCGAAUGCCAAUGACUUAUCCUUAGGAGUCAGACUGCGAGUGAUAAGAUCCGUAGUCAAAAGGGAAACAGCCCAGACCGCCAGCUAAGGUCCCAAAGUGUGUAUUAAGUGGAAAAGGAUGUGGAGUUGCUUAGACAACUAGGAUGUUGGCUUAGAAGCAGCCACCAUUUAAAGAGUGCGUAAUAGCUCACUAGUCGAGUGACUCUGCGCCGAAAAUGUACCGGGGCUAAAUACACCACCGAAGCUGCGGAUUGAUACCAAUGGUAUCAGUGGUAGGGGAGCGUUCUAAGGACAGUGAAGUCAGACCGGAAGGACUGGUGGAGUGCUUAGAAGUGAGAAUGCCGGUAUGAGUAGCGAAAGACGGGUGAGAAUCCCGUCCACCGAAUGCCUAAGGUUUCCUGAGGAAGGCUCGUCCGCUCAGGGUUAGUCAGGACCUAAGCCGAGGCCGACAGGCGUAGGCGAUGGACAACAGGUUGAUAUUCCUGUACCACCUCUUUAUCGUUUGAGCAAUGGAGGGACGCAGAAGGAUAGAAGAAGCGUGCGAUUGGUUGUGCACGUCCAAGCAGUUAGGCUGAUAAGUAGGCAAAUCCGCUUAUCGUAAAGGCUGAGCUGUGAUGGGGAAGCUCCUUAUGGAGCGAAGUCUUUGAUUCCCCGCUGCCAAGAAAAGCUUCUAGUGAGAUAAAAGGUGCCUGUACCGCAAACCGACACAGGUAGGCGAGGAGAGAAUCCUAAGGUGUGCGAGAGAACUCUGGUUAAGGAACUCGGCAAAAUGACCCCGUAACUUCGGGAGAAGGGGUGCUUUCUUAACGGAAAGCCGCAGUGAAUAGGCCCAAGCGACUGUUUAGCAAAAACACAGCUCUCUGCGAAGCCGUAAGGCGAAGUAUAGGGGGUGACACCUGCCCGGUGCUGGAAGGUUAAGGAGAGGGGUUAGCGUAAGCGAAGCUCUGAACUGAAGCCCCAGUAAACGGCGGCCGUAACUAUAACGGUCCUAAGGUAGCGAAAUUCCUUGUCGGGUAAGUUCCGACCCGCACGAAAGGUGUAACGAUUUGGGCACUGUCUCAACCAGAGACUCGGUGAAAUUAUAGUACCUGUGAAGAUGCAGGUUACCCGCGACAGGACGGAAAGACCCCGUGGAGCUUUACUGUAGCCUGAUAUUGAAUUUUGGUACAGUUUGUACAGGAUAGGCGGGAGCCUUUGAAACCGGAGCGCUAGCUUCGGUGGAGGCGCUGGUGGGAUACCGCCCUGACUGUAUUGAAAUUCUAACCUACGGGUCUUAUCGACCCGGGAGACAGUGUCAGGUGGGCAGUUUGACUGGGGCGGUCGCCUCCUAAAGUGUAACGGAGGCGCCCAAAGGUUCCCUCAGAAUGGUUGGAAAUCAUUCGUAGAGUGCAAAGGCAUAAGGGAGCUUGACUGCGAGACCUACAAGUCGAGCAGGGACGAAAGUCGGGCUUAGUGAUCCGGUGGUUCCGCAUGGAAGGGCCAUCGCUCAACGGAUAAAAGCUACCCCGGGGAUAACAGGCUUAUCUCCCCCAAGAGUCCACAUCGACGGGGAGGUUUGGCACCUCGAUGUCGGCUCAUCGCAUCCUGGGGCUGUAGUCGGUCCCAAGGGUUGGGCUGUUCGCCCAUUAAAGCGGUACGCGAGCUGGGUUCAGAACGUCGUGAGACAGUUCGGUCCCUAUCCGUCGUGGGCGUAGGAAAUUUGAGAGGAGCUGUCCUUAGUACGAGAGGACCGGGAUGGACGCACCGCUGGUGUACCAGUUGUUCUGCCAAGGGCAUAGCUGGGUAGCUAUGUGCGGAAGGGAUAAGUGCUGAAAGCAUCUAAGCAUGAAGCCCCCCUCAAGAUGAGAUUUCCCAUAGCGUAAGCUAGUAAGAUCCCUGAAAGAUGAUCAGGUUGAUAGGUUCGAGGUGGAAGCAUGGUGACAUGUGGAGCUGACGAAUACUAAUAGAUCGAGGACUUAACCAUAUA
rnacentral:rRNA from 1 species